rnacentral:ncRNA from 2 species
GAUUUAUAGAGAAAGGGGGAGAGAAAAGGCUCUAAGAACCCUUAGCAACCUGCCAAGCAAGGUGCUAAUUCCUUACCUAAAUAGAGUUUUAGGAGAUAUAAAUU